CCGAACGGACCAGCCGGUGGCCACCGUAGAGCAUGCCGCCUGAGCAUGGAGACACAGGGAGGGCGUUGGAGGAAGCGUGUCUUGUCGUGGAGGUGUGAGGCUACUUUGGAAGAACCAGGGGGAGUUAUAGGAACCGAGAAAAUCUCCUACCCAGACAGCUCCUUCAGGGUCACCAAUCUCGAUCUCUCCAUCGACGCCCCCUGCAGCAUCGAGCUCCGCAUGAACGUCUGCUUCUACCUCGGCCUCACACCCUUUGUCAUCAGCUCUGCCAACCAGGAGCUCUUCUUCCACUACGACUUUACUGACCUCCAAGCACAGCCACCACCACCUACAUGGCCGAUGAACUGCACAAAUGGAUCCAAUGUGUCGGGGUUCAACUCGUUCGCGUGGCUUGCCGGCAGGUACAAGGGCUGCACGGUAUCGAUGAUGCCGUUGCUGGGGUAUGAAGGUGCGGCCGGGACGGACUAUCGGGGGCUAAUGAAAGGGUGAUUUCUUUUCGACUACACGGCAGGUGAUUGCACAUCGUGUCUGGAGAGUGGAAGGUUUUUUGGAUCAAUAUCACCUACGAUAUAUAUCCUCGAGUGCCACUGCUCGGGCAGCGUGUUGAAGAACAUCUGUGGUAGCGACAAGAGGGGGGCGAAGAUUAUGCUAAUUGGUGUGACAACAGCAGCUGCAUCUGCAACCUUUCUCUCUGCAUGUCUUUAUGUGCUGAUAUGGCGUAGAAAGGGGAAAAGACUAUGGUUUCUCCUUUGCAAGAAGACUACUAGCAACACUGAGAAGAAUUACGAGGCCAUGAUAGCGUCAUAUGGAUCCCUAGCUCCGAAAAGAUACAUGUGCUCAGAGGUAAUGAAGAUAACAUCUUCUCACAACGAUCAUCUUGGAAAAGGAGGUUAUGGUGUCGUUUUCAAAGGAAGACUAUGUGAUGGUCGUCUAGUUGCUGUGAAAUUCUUGCAUGAUUGCAAAGGAAACGGGGACGAGUUUGUGAAUGAAGUUAUGAGCAUUGGAAGGACAUCACAUGUUAAUGUUGUUAGUUUAUUUGGGUUUUGUUUGGAGGGAUCAAAACGUGCUCUUAUAUAUGAAUACAUGCCCAACGGUUCCUUGGAUAAGUACAUUUACUCAAAGAGCCCCAAAGCAAUUUUAGGAUGGGAGAGGCUCUAUGCGAUAGCAAUCGGGAUUGCUCGUGGCCUCGAAUACUUGCACCAUAGUUGUAAUACACGUAUCGUCCAUUUUGAUAUCAAGCCCCAAAAUAUCCUGCUAGACAAAGAGUUUAUCCCAAAGAUUGCUGAUUUUGGUCUAGCUAAAUUGUGCCAUACAAAGGAGAGUAAGCUUUCAAUGACUGGAGCUAGAGGAACAAUUGGAUUUAUCGCCCCAGAAGUUCACUAUCGAACCUUCGGGGUGGUUUCAACAAAAUCGGAUGUCUACAGUUACGGAAUGAUGUUGCUGGAGAUGGUUGGAGGUAGGAGAAACGUAAAAUCCAUUGUUGCAAAAUCCAGCGAGAAGUAUUUUCCAGAUUGGAUUUACGACCACUUUGCAGAAGUUGAUGGAUUACAAGCAUGUGAAGUCACAAGGGAAAUUGAGGAGAUUGCAAGAAAGAUGAUCAUCAUUGGCUUGUGGUGCAUACAAGUGUUACCUAUGUAUCGUCCUACCAUAACCCAAGUUCUAGAAAUGUUUGAGAGGAGCAUAGAUGAUCUGGACAUGCCUCCAAAGCAGAACUUCUGUGAACUACUUGAAAGUUCAAAUCACAAUAUGGAUGUACAAAGUUCAAGUUCCAUACCUGAGGAGAUCAACCCUGUGAAUUCAAAAGUCCUACAACAAUCGCGACCUCUUUGAGCAGAUAGGCCAUGUGAAUCGAAGAACCUACAUUCAUUUCCAACACUGUGAGAAGGUGGCCUGUACUAGAGUACAUUCAAAAAUUGAACAAGGGCAGCGAAAUUCAGCAUUGUAGCUGAAAAUAUUUCAUGUAUGCAUUACCAUGAAUCAAGAGCAUGUGCAUGCCAGCGUCCUAUGUGUUAUGGAGCACAAAAGGAAUAAAAGUUAUUCUGCUAAAAGGCUUCGGAGGCAGA